AAGCCAUCCUCUCUCAUCGCCGUUCAGCAGAAAGCAAACAGGAGGAGGCGUGAAAACGGUGGCAAAUUUUCUUUAAAAAUCGGUACAUUUUUUAGCCGAACGGCGUCGAAACUAUAAUCAUUCGAUGCCCGGAACAGCCGGGGAGUGGAAGCUGUAAACACAGAAGUGAAUCUAGUGCGCGCGUGAGUGUAAUUUGGAAAUAUUUGCUCCCUUUGACGGAAGGUAGCAGCAGCCAGCUGAAAAAAAAGUUUUGGGUAGUGCGCUUGUGUAUGUGCGCGACCAGUGCAGCGUCGUCAUUUUCAGAACUAGGGGAGUUUCUCGUUGGAUUCCACAGAGUUAUUGUUGCCCUAGGAACCGAGGACUGUUCUGCGAGCAAAUGAUUGCCGCCGGUUUCACCUUUGCUUGGUAGGUGAAAAUUCUGGUUCGUUUGUAGUUUGGCGUUGGUAAACAGCCGGCCGGUCGACGAUUUUCGAUUCCCUAACGAAGGACUUGUGAUAAACAACUCCGCGAUUUUGCAGCUUGUAGAUUGCCCUGCCGGACGAAAUCGAUUGGAUGUCGUACCCGAGUAGACCACCGCCGGCCAUAGUGCCGGCGGGCAUUCCGUACGGGAUGUCUCCGGCUAUGAUACCUCCUUCCAUCAUCCCAGCAGGUAUGCCUCCUUCGAUGAGUCAACCACCGCCCGUAGCUCGGUCUAAUUUUCGGGGUCCUCCGCCUACGAUCGGGUCACGGCCACAGAUGUACAACAACUCCAAUAACCAUCACCACGACAAACGCCACCGGGACGAUAGAGGUGGUGGUGUUCAGGUUCCGAACGCUGCCCCCACUAUGGAUGGUCCGGUGAUUACGGUUUUUAUCGGGAACAUAAGCGAUCGAGCGCCUGAUCCCAUGAUUAAAAAAAUUCUCGCAUCCUGCGGAACAGUUAUCAACUGGAAACGGGUGUCCACGUUCGGAUUCUGCGAGUAUGAUGGGGCUGUAGCUGGAGCACGCGCUGUUCGAUUGCUCCAUGAUCUUGAGAUAGAUGGAAAAAAGCUUGUGGCUAAGGUUGACGCCAAGAACAAAGCCUUGCUGGACAAUUACAAAGAGGAGAGCAACGGGGCCGUCAGUGAGGAGUCCGAGAAGCGAGGGGAUGAUGAGUCGAUUGAUCUAAUCAGUCGGAUUCUCGAUGAAUUCAGAGAUGAUCUGAUGGGUCCGGAGCAGGCUGAUGAUUAUGGCCUUCCGAAAAAGGAGAAAAAGCAACUGCAAACGGCAGACAUUGAGGAAGGUAAGCGGGACAUAAUCAGCAAAGAGAUUGGUAAGUUCCGGAAGUAUACCGAGGAGGAAGAAAUCAAGAAAGAAAAGGAAAAGGAGCGUAAAAAGGCUCGCGAGGACAGAAAGUCUGAUGGAGACAAGAAGAGAUCGGAUUCGCCGAAGAAGGAAAAGGAGAAAAAAUCCAGACGGCGGAGUCGCUCACGAUCGAGGGAUCGCGAGCGGGAACGGGAACGUGAACGCGAAAGGGAAAGAGAACGCGAAAGGGAACGCGAGCGGGAGCGGGAAAACCGCGAACGGAUAGAGCGUGAAAAUCGCGAACGGGAAGCCAGGGACCGUGAGCGGGAGCGUGAGCGUGAACGGGAACGCGAACGUGAGAGGGAACUGGCGAGUCGAAAUCCGCGCGAUAUUCAGAAGGAGAAAGAAAUGGAAGAGGAAGCACGCGACCGAAGGAAGGCUGAGAAGAAAGCUAAGGAGAAGGAAGCCGCUUACCAGGAACGGUUGAGGAACUGGGAGGCUCGGGAAAGGCGGAAGGCUAAGGAUUAUGAGAAGGAUCGGGAGAAGGAUCGCUGCAAAGAGGAAGAACGUGAGAAAGAAGCCAAGAGAUUGAAGGAAUUCUUGGAAGAUUAUGAUGACGAACGGGACGAUCCUAAGUACUAUAAGGGCCGCGAGCUGCAGCGACGCUUGGCUGAGCGCGUUCGGGAAGCUGAUCAAGAUUCCAAGGAUCGUAACAAGGAGCAGGAAGAAUUGGACGAGCUCAAGAACAAAAUCUUCUCCGGGGAAUACGAUAAUCCAACUUUGGAAUUUGAAAAGGCUAAGAAGCAACGUGAGGACUUGUACCGACCAAAGAUCCUGAUCGACGUCAACCUGGAGCAAUCGCAACAGCGCGAACGGGAACUGGAGCGAGAGCGACAACGCGAGCUGGAACGACAGCGGGACAAGGAGCGAAUCCGUGCCAACAAGGAACGCUAUGUACUGGCCCAAGCAUCCCGAGAGUUGGCAGCCAUUGACGCGGAACCAAUCGAGUCCGAUUCCAGUGGGCACGAGGACAACGCCUUCGCGUCACCAGAUCCGGGCGCCAUUAACAACCAUCAUCACGGCGCUGGCCUUCACAUGGGACAUCACCCGCAGCAUGCCGGUUCGGAGACGCGGGACUCGUUCGGGUUUGGUUCCGCGGCGGGCCCGAUGAUGGGAAUGGGUGGUGAAGACGAAAGCUCACGACAUUCGAUGCGGUCCAAUUCGAACAUGAUGUCGAUGCACAGUCCCGAAGCGAACAGCAACAGCGGAUUGAAUUCGCUGCCGGAGAAACAUCAGCCUAUUGCCCCGACGAUAAGUCUUAGCUUGAACGCCAACGCCAAGAAGAAGAAGCUGGAAGUGAAAGAUGUCUUCAACAGCUUGGAGGAAGACGGAGAAGAAUCCAAUGGUCCGAAGAAGCGGAAAUUGGUCCCCUUGGAUGAGGAAAACAAACAUCAGAACUCGAUUCCUCAACCAGUUCCUGCGCCAACUGUCACGCAUGCAACUUCCAAGAGCUCUUCCAAAAGUAAGAGCGGCGCAGGUGGUGGUGACGACGCCGGAGGUGGAGGCGGUAGCACUCGGUCUGGUCGCGACGGUGCCAAGUCACAGGAGGAAAAACGGCGGCACAUCAAGAGUAUUAUCGACAAGAUACCGACCGAGAAGGCCGACCUGUUCAACUAUCCACUGGACUGGAACGAGAUCGAUAGCACUAUCGAGAAGAAGAUCCGACCGUGGAUAAACAAAAAGAUUAUUGAGUACAUUGGCGAGCCGGAACCGACGUUGGUGGACUUCAUUUGUUCGAAAGUACUGGCCGGCAGUACGCCUCAAGGAAUCCUGGAUGACGUGCAGAUGGUUCUCGACGAGGAAGCCGAAGUGUUCGUGGUCAAAAUGUGGCGCUUGCUGAUCUACGAAGUCGAAGCCAAGAAGGUUGGCCUCACAAAGUAAGGACACCAGACCCAGCAUCCAGACGACUCGCUUCACUUCACUGCAGGCAUCAAUGAACGAACGCGAGCUGAGAUAACCGUUUCGUCCGCUGUGGCGGUGCUGCUUCCCUCCCCCGGACCAGGAUUUAAAAACCCCAUCCAUCGUGAUGAUCCACUGACGAAAUGAUUGACACGACGAUUUAGCAGACCUUGAAACUCUGAUUGAUAUCACCAGCCGAUGGCAUUUGGGAUUGGUGGCGGCCCGUCAUCAUCGUCGUCGUCGUCCUUGCCAUUGAAUCGAAGAUGGAGUUAAUGGCGAUGCUUUAUUUGUCCACCCCUCUGAUUCGAUUUCGCGCGCCUUGUUACUGAUUCUCCGAGGAUCAGGUAAGUAUCCACACUGUUGUCAGUGUUAACUUACAAAUUACAUCGUACGCUAUAAAUAAGUGCUCUUGAUUACAGGCAUGAAGGUACCGUUCGGGCACAUUUUUCAAAAGGAUGUCCUCCGUUUGCGGCUAGUAAGUAUUUUAUUAUGAAAGUAAUGAAUUGAACGGUUUAUUUGUGCAGUUCGUCGGUUUCGCCUGAAGGACAUCGUCUGGUAGAUAAGAGAAUCUCUUGGAAUAACGAACGGUGAGUAUUAAUGCUAGACGACACAUAUUUGUUAAAUAUUCAAAUAAACCACCCAAAGCUGGA